AUGGAUAUGAUGAAAUUUACUCUUUUGGUGUUUCUUUAUCACCAGUUGCUAUGGCAAGGAAACGUCUGGAGUCAGGGUGAGCUGCCAGUUAACACCACGGCGUCAGAGCUUCAGGGGGACGAAUCGGCAGCUAACACCACGGUGCCAGAGCGUCAGGGGGACGAAUCGCCAGCUAACACCACGGCGCCAGAGCGUCAGGGGGACGAAUCGCCAGCUAACACCACGACGCCAGAGCGUCAGUGGGACGAAUCGCCAGCUAACACCACGGUGCCAGAGCGUCAGUGGGACGAAUCGCCAGCUAACACCACGACGCCAGAGCAUCAGUGGGACGAAUCGCCAGCUAACACCACGACGCCAGAGCGUCAGUGGGACGAAUCGCCAGCUAACACCACGACGCCAGAGCAUCAGUGGGACGAAUCGCCAGCUAACACCACGGCGCCAGGGCCUCAGGGGGACGAAUCGCCAGCUAACACCACGGCGCCAGGGCCUCAGGGGGACGAAUCGCCAGCUAACACCACGACGCCAGAGCGUCAGUGGGACGAAUCGCCAGCUAACACCACGGUGCCAGAGCGUCAGUGGGACGAAUCGCCAGCUAACACCACGGCGCCAGGCCUCAGGAGGAUGAGACUGAGACCACUUCUAGUGCCACCACACAGUCUCAGGAGAUGGAGACCACUUCUAGUGCCACCACACAGUCUCAGGAGACUGAGACCACUUCAAACACUACCUAAGCCUUGUUGAAUAGGUUUUUUUUGGUGCUGUCUAGCUGCUUUGUCAAAAGUUUGACUAACAAAAUAAAAGUUUAAUGGUUUGUCUUGUUCAAUGUCUCUUUCCAGAGUUGGAGCUGCUUUUAAUGCCAAUUCUUUCUCUUUGGGGGGGGUCGCUUUAGCAGUUGACCAUUUCUGGUACAUUGCUGUUACCAAUUCUGCCUAAACGUAAUGGGCUCUAAGCAAGGAGAGGUGGUGUAUUUCUGCUCCUGUUAUACUGGCAAGGGCACUUCUGGCUUGUACAGUAAACUAAGAAACCAUCAGUUGUGUGGGAGACACGCCCCCUUACUAAAAGAAAACACUGUAGUUUUAUACAGUGAAGUUGAGGUUAUAUCUUCAUAACAAUGGAAAAAACUUUUACAACGUUAUGAAGGCAUCGUAGGAGCACUGUAUUCUCAUUCUGUGUCUUCACACUACAACUCCUGUGCUAGUUCUCAUUCCUUUCUGGUGAAGGAAGACAUCAGGGGGAAAAAUGGAUUGUAAACCUUAAAAAAAAAAAAUCAACUUCCAAAUGAAACAAGCAAAGGUAACCCCUUGUCCAUUUCUGGUAGCAUUAAUCCGCUGUUUGGUGUCAUGUCUUAACUAUCAGAAUAGACCACUUGUUAAGGCAUGGGCCCAGUGAGUCAGCACAGUGUCAUUGUUGUCUGUGUACGAAGUCUUUAUUUGGCACAUUGAAGUUAAAGAGUUUGGUGAUUUUACAUCCGAGUUAGUUCUGGCUGCAGGUAAAGUUUUAAUCGUUGUUGAUUUUAAUAUCCAUGUUGACAAUGAAAAAGAUGCAUUGGGAUCAGCAUUUAUAGACAUUCUGAACUCUGUUGGGGUUUGACAACACGUAUCAGGACCUACUCCUUGUCGAAAUCAUACUCUAGAUUUAAUACUAGAACUAGAACACCCAUCACCUGCCCUGAAUGCCUCCCCACAAAACCAUUCACACCAUUCACAACUCCUGCAACCAGCCCCAAAUGCCUCUCCAAACAACCGUUCACACCAUUAACAGCUCCUGCAACCCAUCCUGAACACCUCUCCAAUCAAGCACUCUCACCAUUCACACCUCCUGCAUCCCCCCUCUCCCCCACACC
rnacentral:lncRNA from 1 species